GAAUCUUGAGAUGGGUUUGUAUUGGUAGGAACAUGUGUUUAUGCUUUAGAGUUUAAUACAUGUGAGAAAUGGUUUUGAAUUAUUUAUUAUGUAAUGAGGUAUAGCUUGAAUUUUGUUCAUGGGAUUCAAAUUGUAAAUGGAAUCAAAGAUUUAAUAUUGUAAAGUGAAUGGAAUUGGUCCUAUAGAUUUGUUUUUGAAAUGUGUAUCAAAGAUAUGUUGGAUUUGAGUGAU
rnacentral:lncRNA from 1 species